UAGAUACCCCACUAUCCCUAGCCUUAAAUCUUGACACUUCCUAGACUAAAGUGUCCGCCUGAGAACUACGAGCACAAACGCUUAAAACUCUAAGGACUUGGCGGUGCCUCAAACCCACCUAGAGGAGCCUGUUCUAUAAUCGAUAACCCACGCUACACCCGACCGCUCUUUGCUCGCUCAGCCUAUAUACCGCCGUCGCCAGUUCACCUAUCUUGAAAGAACAACAGUGAACACAACAGCCCCAACCACGCUAAAAAGACAGGUCAAGGUAUAGCCCAUGGAGCGGAAGAAAUGGGCUACAUUUUCUACCCUAGAAGAUUACGAAAGGGGGCAUGAAAUUCCCCCCAGAAGGCGGAUUUAGCAGUAAAGUUGAACCACAAUGCCAUCUUAAAGCCGGCCCCGGGGCACGUACAUACCGCCCGUCACCCUCCUCGCAAGCUAUCAACACAAGUAAUUAACCCCAACUUCCAGCCAAAGACGAGGUAAGUCGUAACAGGGUAAGUGUACA
rnacentral:rRNA from 1 species